ACUGCUCAGUAACACGUAGUCAACUACCCUAUGGACGGGAAUAAACUCGGGAAACUGAGUAUAAUACCCGAUAGAACAUUAUGCCUGGAAUGGUUUAUGUUCUAAAUGAUUUAUCGCCGUAGGAUGGGACUGCGGCCUAUCAGUUUGUUGGUGAGGUAAUGGCCCACCAAGACUAUUACAGGUACGGGCUCUGAGAGGAGUAGCCCGGAGAUGGGUACUGAGACACGGACCCAGGCCCUAUGGGGCGCAGCAGGCGAGAAAACUUUGCAAUGUGCGAAAGCACGACAAGGUUAAUCCGAGUGGUUUCUGCUAAAGGAACCUUUUGCCAGUCCUAGAAACACUGGUGAAUAAGGGGUGGGCAAGUUCUGGUGUCAGCCGCCGCGGUAAAACCAGCACCUCAAGUGGUCAGGAUGAUUAUUGGGCCUAAAGCAUCCGUAGCCGGCUCUGUAAGUUUUCGGUUAAAUCUGUACGCUCAACGUACAGGCUGCCGGGAAUACUGCAGAGCUAGGGAGUGGGAGAGGUAGACGGUACUCGGUAGGAAGGGGUAAAAUCCUUUGAUCUAUUGAUGACCACCUGUGGCGAAGGCGGUCUACCAGAACACGUCCGACGGUGAGGGAUGAAAGCUGGGGGAGCAAACCGGAUUAGAUACCCGGGUAGUCCCAGCUGUAAACUAUGCAAACUCAGUGAUGCAUUGGCUUGUGGCCAAUGCAGUGCUGCAGGGAAGCCGUUAAGUUUGCCGCCUGGGAAGUACGUACGCAAGUAUGAAACUUAAAGGAAUUGGCGGGGGAGCAC
rnacentral:rRNA from 1 species